GGCGGCAGGAAUAAAGCUGAAGAGUUACUUCAAACUGUCUGAGGACCGACAAUAACUCAGUUAAUUUAGUGAUAUAUUUACAGACAUGAGAAAUGCUUAUCUCCAAAAUCUUUUCCAGGUGACUGCACUUGUUUUUGUGGAAACCUUAAACCUAAAUUGCAGUUUGAAGGUUUAUCUCUGGAUGCCUCUAUCCUCCCUGAUGGACUUCAAACACUCUCUGUAAAGCUGCUAAAUCCUCAGAGGUGAAAUGACCCCAAAAGCCAGUGGGAAGAGUCUCUGCCCAGUUGCCACACUCCUCUCCAUCUUCACCUGUUCCGACAACUGUGGCCCCGACUUUCUCCUCCACCCAGCCACCACCGCUAUGUGGGCAGCGAAAUGACCAUCCUCAUCAUCAAAUACUGCAAAGGUUUCCCUUUCAACUGUUG